rnacentral:pre_miRNA from 1 species
GAUGGGUGAAUUUCUAGUGUCAAGUUACGGAACCUUGACUAGAUUUUCACUUAUCCU